rnacentral:rRNA from 1 species
AACGAACGCUGGCGGCAUGCCUAACACAUGCAAGUCGAACGAGACCUUCGGGUCUAGUGGCGCACGGGUGCGUAACGCGUGGGAACCUGCCCUUAGGUUCGGAAUAACUCCCCGAAAGGGGUGCUAAUACCGGAUAAUGUCUUCGGACCAAAGAUUUAUCGCCUUUGGAUGGGCCCGCGUUGGAUUAGCUAGUUGGUAGGGUAAAAGCCUACCAAGGCGACGAUCCAUAGCUGGUCUGAGAGGAUGAUCAGCCACACUGGGACUGAGACACGGCCCAGACUCCUACGGGAGGCAGCAGUGGGGAAUAUUGGACAAUGGGCGAAAGCCUGAUCCAGCAACGCCGCGGGAGUGAUGAAGGCCUUAGGGUGGUAAAGCUCUUUUACCCGGGAUGAUAAUGACAGUACCGGGAGAAUAAGCUCCGGCUAACUCCGU